rnacentral:rRNA from 1 species
GCCUAAAGGGGCCGUAGCUUGAUAAUAGGGUCCCUUGAGAAAUCCGCCGGCUUAACUGGCGGGCGUUCAGGGGAAACUUGUUUUCUAGGGACCGGGAGAGGUGAGGGGUACUGCCGGGGUAGGAGUGAAAUCCUGUAAUCCCGGUGGGACCACCUAUGGCGAAGGCAUCUCACCAGAACGGGUCCGACAGUGAGGGACGAAAGCUGGGGGAGCAAACCGGAUUAGAUACCCGGGUAGUCCCAGCUGUAAACUAUGUGCGUUAGGUGUGUCAGUGACCACGUGUCACUGAGGUGCCGAAGGGAAACCGUGAAACGCACCGCCUGGGGAGUACGGUCGCAAGGCUGAAACUUAAAGGAAUUGGCGGGGGAGCACCACAACGGGUGGAGCCUGCGGUUUAAUCGGACUCAACGCCGGGAAUCUCACCGGAUAAGACAGCUGAAUGAUAGUCGGGAUGAAGACUCUACUUGACUAGCUGAGAGGAGGUGCAUGGCCGUCGUCAGUUCGUACUGUGAAGCAUCCUGUUUAGUCAGGCAACGAGUGAGACCCACGCGAGCAGUUGCCAGCUUGACCUUCGGGUUGAUGGGGACACUGCUCGGACCGCCUCUGCUAAAGGGGAGGAAGGACUGGGCAACGGUAGGUCAGCAUGCCCCGAAUUAUCCGGGCUACACGCGGGCUACAAUGGACAGGACAAUGAGUUUCGACACCGAGAGGUGAGGAUAAUCUUCUAACCCUGUCCCAAGUUCGGAUUGCGGGUUGUAACUCACCCGCAUGAAGCUGGAAUCCGUAGUAAUCGCGUUUCAACAUACCGCGGUGAAUAUGUCCCUGCUCCUUGCACACACCGCCCGU